GGAAUGGCGUAGAUAUAUGGAAGAACACCAGUGGCGAAGGCGGCUUACUGGACUGCAACUGACGUUGAGGCUCGAAAGUGUGGGUAGCAAACAGGAUUAGAUACCCUGGUAGUCCACACCGUAAACGAUGAACACUAGGUGUUAGGAGGUUUCCGCCUCUUAGUGCCGAAGCUAACGCAUUAAGUGUUCCGCCUGGGGAGUACGACCGCAAGGUUGAAACUCAAAGGAAUUGACGGGGACCCGCACAAGCGGUGGAGCAUGUGGUUUAAUUCGAAA
rnacentral:rRNA from 1 species